CCAAUAGCGUAUAUUAAAGUUGUUGCAGUUAAAAAGCUCGUAGUUGAAUUUCGGGAUCAAUACGUCGGUCGUGCCUCUGGUAUGAACUGGUGUUAUUGAUUCCUCCUUUCUGAUAAACCAUGAUGUCAUUAAUUUGGUGUUGUGGGGAGUCAGGACUGUUACUUUGAAAAAAUUAGAGUGUUUAAAGCAGGCCUACGCCUGAAUACAUUAGCAUGGAAUAAUGAAAUAGGACGUUCGAACCUAUUCUGUUGGUUUCUAGGAUCAACGUAAUGAUUAAUAGGGAUAGUUGGGGGCAUUAGUAUUCAAUUGUCAGAGGUGAAAUUCUUGGAUUUAUUGAAGACUAACUACUGCGAAAGCAUUUGCCAAGGAUGUUUUCAUUAAUCAAGAACGAAAGUUAGGGGAUCGAAGACGAUCAGAUACCGUCGUAGUCUUAACCAUAAACUAUGCCGACUAGGGAUCGGAUGAUGUUAAUUUUUUAAUGACUCAUUCGGCGCCUUACG
rnacentral:rRNA from 1 species